rnacentral:rRNA from 1 species
UAGUGGCGAAAGGGUGAGUAACACGUGGGUAAUUUACCCUCGGGACAGGGAUAACUCGCUGAAAGGUGAGCUAAUACCUGAUGAAACCCUUGAAAGACAUCUCUCAAGGGUGAAAAGAUGGCCUAUCCUUGGAAGCUAUCGCCUGAGAAUGAACCCGCGUCCCAUUAGCUUGUUGGUGGGGUAAAGGCCUACCAAGGCGAUGAUGGGUAGCCGGCCUGAGAGGGUGAUCGGCCACACUGGGACUGAGACACUGCCCAGACUCCUACGGGAGGCUGCAGUCGAGAAUCUUUCGCAAUGCCCGCAAGGGUGACGAAGCGACGCUGCGUGAGCGAUGAAGGUCUUCGGAUCGUAAAGCUCUGUCACUCAGAACGAACGUCCUUGAGGCAAAUAGCCUCAAGGGUUGACGGUACUGGGAGAGGAAGCCCCGGCCAACUCCGUGCCAGCAGCCGCGGUAAUACGGAGGGGGCGAGCGUUGUUCGGAUUUAUUGGGCGUAAAGAGCAUGUAGGUGGUUAUCUAAGUCAGACGUGAAAUCCCUUGGCUCAACCAAGGCCGAGCGCCUGAAACUGGGUAACUUGAGUACAGGAGAGGAGAGUGGAAUUCCUGGUGUAGCGGUGAAAUGCGUAGAUAUCAGGAGGAACACCGGUGGCGAAGGCGACUCUCUGGCCUGAUACUGACACUGAGAUGCGAAAGCUAGGGGAGCGAACGGGAUUAGAUACCCCGGUAGUCCUAGCCGU